UGUUAAAAAUUUCAUCCAUUUCUAUUAUUAAAAACUGAACUAGCUAACGAAAUAACUAGAGAAUUACGUGUCCCUUAUGCUAAGGUAAAGGGACCAAUUUUUAGCAGUCAAAAUGGAUGAAAUUUUUAUCA
rfam:Gossypium hirsutum cultivar TM-1 chromosome 9, whole genome shotgun sequence